AUGAACCAGAAUGCUAGCCCCGGCCCGGACGGCUUCGGUCCGGGUUUCUACCGGAAGUUUUGGUCCGUUCUAAAGAGGAAAAUUAAGGACUUUUUCCUCGAGUUUCAUGAUCUCCAAAGCGACGUCUCCUACCUAAACAGAGCCCUCAUCAUCCUUCUCCCUAAAUCCAAUGACGCCCGAUCUCCCGCCGACUUUCGUCCCAUUUCGCUUCAAAACGGCCCCAUUAAAGGAGUCUCUAAACUUCUUACCAAUCGACUCAAGCCACUUAUCCCUCUCCUUGUCCACGCUGACCAAACGGGUUUCCUCUCCGGCCGUAACAUCUCUGAAAACUUUCUAUACGCUGCUGAUAUCCUUCAUUGUUGUGCCAAACGUAAAGCUCCCUCCCUGGUUGUCAAAUUAGACUUUCGCAAAGCCUUCGACUCUGUUUGCUGGUCCUCCCUCCUUUGCACUCUUCGUACUCGUGGUUUCCCACAACGUUGGUGCGACUGGAUCGAAGCAUUGCUCCGCACUGGUUCAACUGUGGUCAUGCUUAAUGGUGUCCCGGGUAGAUGGAUCCAGUGCAAGAAUGGAUUACGCCAGGGUGAUCCGCUCUCGCCC
rnacentral:rRNA from 1 species